CAGAGAUGGACCACAUGAUCACCGGAGCAAAGUAUUCGGCGGCUGUGGCAUGGAGACUAUUCUGGAGAAAAUGGGCAUCCAGGGGAAGGUGCCAGCGAUGACCAGCAUCUGGAGCUGAUCUGGGAGGAAUUGAGGCUGCAGAGGGAGGCAGAGCAGCAGAGAGCACAGGAGAGAAGGAAGAACUUUGACAGCUUUUUACUUUGCUAGAAAAAAUGGUUAAGGAAGAUUAAACAUGUACAUGUAAAAGAAAUAUCUAAAUAAAAUCAGUUCUGCAUUAAACUCUUGAAUUUUAUUUUUGUUUACAAAUGAGAAUUGUUUACUAGAGGGUAUCCGCUGGGUCUUGAAAAGUCUUAAAAGGUGAUAAAUCGGUUUUGGUCAAAUUAAGACCCUUAGAAAGUAUUAAAAACUAUUAUCACAUCUUUGCUCAUGCUCAGCUUGUCUAAAGUAUUUUCUCUGAAUUAGCUCUCCAACAGUCAAGGAAAUGAUUAACCCCCAGAGACCCACGGUUGUAAUAUUACAACAUCAGAUUUAA